GCGCCCAUGGCUCAAUUGGAUAGAGCGUCAGACUACGGAUCUGGAGGUUGAGAGUUCGAAUCUUUCUGGGCGCGCCA
rnacentral:tRNA from 1 species